CUGCCAGUUCCCUUCAGACAA
rnacentral:miRNA from 1 species